UCUAAUAAGCUGGUAACAAACAGGGCACCUCUUGCCUAGUUACUAGUAGGAACAUGAAGGCACGUGUCUUUGGAGUUGGCCCCCGAGGUAUGUUCCUUGGAACAGGACGUCACAGAGGGUGAGAAUCCCGUGCGAUGGGGAGACCAAUUCUAUGUAAAGUUCCUUCGAAGAGUCGAGUUGUUUGGGAAUGCAGCUCUAAGUGGGUGGUAAAUUCCAUCUAAAGCUAAAUAUUGGCGAGAGACCGAUAGCGAACAAGUACAGUGAUGGAAAGAUGAAAAGAACUUUGAAAAGAGAGUGAAAAAGUACGUGAAAUUGUUGAAAGGGAAGGGCUUUUGAUCAGACUUGGUGUUUAGUACUCUCUACUCCUUGUGGGUGGGGCUCUUGCUUUAUACUGGGCCAGCAUCGGUUUGGAUGGUAGGAUAAUAGCAUUGGAAUGUGGCUUCAUUCGUGAAGUGUUAUAGCCCUUGUUGAUACUACCUAUCUAGACCGAGGACUGCGNUCUUUUGACUAGGAUGCUGGCGUAAUGAUUAAAAGCC
rnacentral:rRNA from 1 species